rnacentral:rRNA from 1 species
AUUGAACGCUGGCGGCAGGCCUAACACAUGCAAGUCGAGCGGAUGAAGGGAGCUUGCUCCUGGAUUCAGCGGCGGACGGGUGAGUAAUGCCUAGGAAUCUGCCUGGUAGUGGGGGAUAACGUCCGGAAACGGGCGCUAAUACCGCAUACGUCCUGAGGGAGAAAGUGGGGGAUCUUCGGACCUCACGCUAUCAGAUGAGCCUAGGUCGGAUUAGCUAGUUGGUGGGGUAAAGGCCUACCAAGGCGACGAUCCGUAACUGGUCUGAGAGGAUGAUCAGUCACACGGGAACUGAGACACGGUCCAGACUCCUACGGGAGGCAGCAGUGGGGAAUAUUGGACAAUGGGCGAAAGCCUGAUCCAGCCAUGCCGCGUGUGUGAAGAAGGUCUUCGGAUUGUAAAGCACUUUAAGUUGGGAGGAAGGGCAGUAAGUUAAUACCUUGCUGUUUUGACGUUACCAACAGAAUAAGCACCGGCUAGCUUCGUG